ACCUUAAAGCUAGCCUACAUACCAAUUUUCAACAAAACUUUAUCACCUAAAUAUAUACUUAAUCCUCUACUUAAAACAUUUCUUUUUUUUAGUAUGGGUGACAGAACAUAAAUCCAGCGCAAUAGCCUAAGUACCGCAAGGGAAAGCUGAAAAAGAAAUGAAAUAAAUUAUUAAAGUGUUUAAAAGCAGAGAUUAUACCUCGUACCUUUUGCAUCAUGAUUUAGCUAGAAAAACUAGGCAAAAAGACUUUAAGUCUACCUCCCCGAAACCAAAUGAGCUACUCCGGAGCAGCAUAUAAGAGCCAACCCGUCUCUGUAGCAAAAGAGUGGGAAGACUCCCGAGUAGCGGUGAAAAGCCUAACGAAUUUGGUGAUAGCUGGUUAUCCAAGAAAAGAACUUUAAUUCUGCAUUAAUUCUUUAAAACUAAUCAAGAGCAUUCUCCUCAAAGUUAUAUAUAAGAAUUAAUAGUUAUUUAGAAGAGGUACAGCUCUUCUGAAUCAAGAUACAACUUUAUGAGCUGGGUAAUGAUCAUAAUUACAAAGGCUCCUCCCUCAGUGGGCUUAAGAGCAGCCACCUGAAAAGCAAGCGUCGUAGCUCCAGCCUUAUAAUAACCUAUAAUUUAGAUAUUUUCUCAAAACCCACUUUAAACUAUUGGAUUAUUUUAUAAAAUUAUAAAAGAACUUAUGCUAAAAUGAGUAAUAAAGAGAAUAAAACUCUCCCGACACAAGUGUACGUUAGAAAGAAUUAAAUCACUAACAAUUAAACGACCCCAAACUGAGGCCAUUAUAGUUUAUAUAAUAAACUAGCAAAACCUAUUUUAUUAAUCGUUAAACCUACACAGGAGUGUCUAUAGGAAAGAUUAAAAGAAAAUAAAGGAACUCGGCAAAUAUUAACUCCGCCUGUUUACCAAAAACAUCGCCUCUUGCUUAACUAUAAGAGGUCCCGCCUGCCCUGUGAUAUUAUUUAACGGCCGCGGUAUUUUGACCGUGCAAAGGUAGCGUAAUCACUUGUCUUUUAAAUGAAGACCUGUAUGAAAGGCAUCACGAGAGUUCAACUGUCUCUAUUUUCUAAUCAAUGAAAUUGAUCUAUCCGUGCAGAAGCGGAUAUAAAAACAUUAGACGAGAAGACCCUAUGGAGCUUCAAACACUUAAGCUAAUUAUGCAAUUUUUUACAUCUCAGGAUAUAAACAAAAUAAUAUAUCUCUAGUUUAACUGUUUUUGGUUGGGGUGACCAGGGGGAAAAAUAAAACCCCCCUAUCGACCGAGUACUCAGUACUUAAAAAUUAGAAUUACAAUUCUAAUUGAUAAAACAUUUAUCGAAAAAUGACCCAGGAUUUCCUGAUCAAUGAACCAAGUUACCCUAGGGAUAACAGCGCAAUCCUUUCCCAAAGUUCCUAUCGACGAAAGGGUUUACGACCUCGAUGUUGGAUCAGGACACCCUAAUGGUGCAACCGCUAUUAAGGGUUCGUUUGUUCAACGAUUAAUAGUCCUACGUGAUCUGAGUUCAGACCGGAGAAAUCCAGGUCAGUUUCUAUCUAUGAAUAUAUUUUUCCCAGUACGAAAGGACCGGAAAAAUGGGGCCAAUGCUAAUAGUACGCCCCAUUUUCAUCUAUUGAAUUAAACUCAAAUAGGUAAGAAAACUCUACCUAAUACCCUAAAACAGGGUU
rnacentral:rRNA from 1 species